GAAGCUCGGAUGAAAUUUGGUUGCCGUGGAAGUUCGGAGUAGAAAUCUGACUGUUGGAGCUCGUCUAUUGUAGAAGUUUGUUUGGAAUUUAUCCGCUGCAAAAGUUCGAACAUAGUCCGAUUCUUGUAGGAGCUCGGAUGAAAUUUGAAAGGCAGUCGACCACCGCAGAAACUUGGAUGGAGUCUGGCUACUGUAGAAGUCCUGCUGCUGGAGAAGCUUGGACAUUGACUAAGUCUGAAAGAAGCUCGGAGUAUAAUCGAUCGUGACAGGAGGAA
rnacentral:lncRNA from 1 species